AACGCUGCACCCCCGGCCCCGCCCCGCGCGUGGGCAGAGAACGCCGGGGGGCUCGCGACCCUCCCUCGCCCAGGCUGCCCGUCGCGGCGAGAGACCCCCGCACAUCCGCGCGCGCGCGCCCUGCAAGCCGGCCGGCGUCGCUCCCGCGCGCGCGCGCACCCACCCUUCAGCGCUCAGCUGAGCAGGGUGUCCUCAUGACCAGGUUUCCAACUGACAAAUUUGAAGUGGUGGGAGUUGAAGCUGAGCGCAAAGGAGCUAGCAGACUGAGAAGGAACCACCUGACCAUGGGAAUCAGCAAAAGCACCAAGGGAAGCAGAGAAAGUAGCAGAGGGGCAACAGGACCUAUAGAGGGAUGGGAACGCAUCAGUGAGUUUCAGUGACUUACCUAUGGACAGAUGGGAAGUCUGUGACAAAGCAGGGAAUUGAGUGUGGGUCUCAAGUCUUAUACUAGCACCGUUUUCCACAGAGUGAUCACAACGCCAUUUGACAUUAGCUUGAACAGUGAAACCUGCACUCAGGACUCCCAACUCCAAAAGGGAU